rnacentral:pre_miRNA from 1 species
AUAGUACUCCCUCCGUCCCAAAAUUCUUGUCUUAUGUUUGUCUAGAAAUGAAUGUAUCUAAAUAUUAUAACAUGAUUAGAUACAUUCAUAUCUAAACAAAUUUAAGACAAGAAUUUUGGGACGGAGGGAGUACUAC